rnacentral:rRNA from 1 species
UACGUAGGGUGCGAGCGUUAAUCGGAAUUACUGGGCGUAAAGCGUGCGCAGGCGGUUCGUUGUGUCGGCGGUGAAAGCCCCGGGCUUAACCUGGGAAUGGCCGUUGAAACUGGCGAACUGGAGUGUGGCAGAGGGGGGGUGGAAUUCCGCGUGUAGCAGUGAAAUGCGUAGAGAUGCGGAGGAACACCGAUGGCGGAAGGCAGCCCCCUGGGCUGACACUGACGCUCAGGCACGAAAGCGUGGGGGAGCAAACAGG